GACGAACGCUGGCGGCGUGCCUAAUACAUGCAAGUAGAACGCUGAAGGAGGAGCUUUCUCUUCUGGAUGAGUUGCGAACGGGUGAGUAACGCGUAUGUAACCUGCCUGUUAGCGGGGGAUAACUAUUGGAAACGAUAGCUAAUACCGCAUAACAGAAUAUGUUGCAUGAGAUUUACUUAAAAGUUGCAAUUUCGUUGCUACCAGUUGGACCUGCGUUGUUUUAGCUAGUUGUUGGGGUAACGGCUCACCAAGGCGACGAUACAUAACCGACCUGAGAGGGGGAUCGGCCACACUGGGAAUGAGACAAGGCCCAGACUCCUAAGGGAGGGCGCAGUAGGGAAUCUUCGGCAAUGGACGGAAGGCUGAACGAGGCAAGCCGGGUGAGUGAAGGAGGUUUUCGGAUCGUAAAGAUCCGUUGUAAGGGAAGAACGAGUGUGAGAGUGGAAAGUUCACACUGUGACGGUACCUUACCAGAAAGGCACGGCUAACUACGUG
rnacentral:rRNA from 1 species